rnacentral:misc_RNA from 1 species
AAGUCGUAACAAGGUUUCCGUAGGUGAACCUGCGGAAGGAUCAUUAGUGAAUACUAGGACGUUCAAUUUAACUUGAAGUCCGAACUCCCACUAUCUAACCCUGUGCAUUUGUUUUGGUUAGUAGGGCGCUUUUAUUAGCGUCUGAACCCCUCUUCAUCUUACAAACACAAAGUCUAUGAAUGUAAUAAAAUUUAUAACAAAACAAAACUUUCAACAACGGAUCUCUUGGCUCUC